rnacentral:miRNA from 3 species
UACUUGGAAAGGCAUCAGUUG